rnacentral:tRNA from 1 species
GCGGGAGUAGUUCAGUGGUAGAGCGUUUCCUUCCCAAGGAAAAUGUCGCGAGUUCGAGUCUCGUCUCCCGCU